rfam:Nomascus leucogenys chromosome 5, whole genome shotgun sequence.
GCCAGGUGCAGUGGCAUGCACUUGUAGUCCUAGCUACUGGGGAAGCUGAGGCGGGAGGAUCGCUUGAGCCCAGGAGUUCCAGUCUGCAGUGAGCUAUGAUGGUGCCACUGCACAUCAGCCUGGGCAGUAAAGCGAGACCCUGUCUCAA